CCCGCUGAACUUAAGCAUAUCAAUAAGCGGAGGAAAAGAAACCAACAGGGAUUGCCUUAGUAACGGCGAGUGAAGCGGCAACAGCUCAAAUUUGAAAUCUGGCUCCUUGGGGCCCGAGUUGUAAUUUGUAGAGGAUGCUUCGGCUUGUUUUCCGGUCUAAGUUCCUUGGAACAGGACGUCACAGAGGGUGAGAAUCCCGUAUGUGCCCGGCAAAGCUCGCCAUGUGAAGCUCCUUCGACGAGUCGAGUUGUUUGGGAAUGCAGCUCUAAAUGGGAGGUAAAUUUCUCCUAAAGCUAAAUAUUGGCCAGAGACCGAUAGCGCACAAGUAGAGUGAUCGAAAGAUGAAAAGCACUUUGAAAAGAGAGUCAAAAAGUACGUGAAAUUGUUGAAAGGGAAGCGCUUGCAACCAGACCUGACCGCAAUUGCUCAUCCGGGCUCUGCCCGGUGCACUCUUUUGUGGCCAGGCCAGCAUCGGUUUGGGCGGUCGUAUAAAGGCCGCGGGAAUGUGGCUCCUCUCGGGGAGUGUUAUAGCCCGCGGUGCAAUGCGGCCAGCCCGGACCGAGGUCCGCGCUCCGGCUAGGAUGCUGGCGUAAUGGUUGUAAGCGGCCCGUCUUGAAACACGG
rnacentral:rRNA from 1 species